rnacentral:rRNA from 1 species
ACGGAAGGCAGCAGUGAGGAAUAUUGGUCAAUGGACGGAAGUCUGAACCAGCCAAGUCGCGUGCGGGAUGAAGGCCCUACGGGUCGUAAACCGCUUUUGUACGGGGAUAAAGUCACCCACGUGUGGGUGUUUGUAGGUACCGUAAGAAUAAGGAUCGGCUAACUCCGUGCCAGCAGCCGCGGUAAUACGGAGGAUCCGAGCGUUAUCCGGAUUUAUUGGGUUUAAAGGGUGCGUAGGCGGGACGUUAAGUCAGUGGUAAAAGCGUGUGGCUCAACCAUACCAAGCCAUUGAAACUGUCGUUCUUGAGUGUAAACGAGGUAGGCGGAAUGUGACGUGUAGCGGUGAAAUGCUUAGAUAUGUCACAGAACCCCGAUUGCGAAGGCAGCUUACCAGCAUACAACUGACGCUGAGGCACGAAAGCGUGGGUAUCAAACAGGAUUAGAUACCCUGGUA